GCACUUCUACUCCAGUUUAUUGUACUGAACUUCAGCCAAGCAAGGCCCCUAAACCAGGCCAGAUACAGAGGCCAACACCAAGGCCGUCUCUGCCAUGGCGGGUAUAAAAUCGAAACAGUAAAAAUUCAUUCAAGCCUGGGGUGGUGGCACACACCUGUAAUCUCAGAGCUCUGGAGGCAGAGGCAGGAGGAUCGCCUUGAGUUCAAGGCCAGCCUGGGCUACAUAGCGAGACGCUGUCUCAGAAAACAAAAAACAAACAAAAAAACAGGGGCAAAAAGAUAAGAUAUUAGAUUUAAGAGGGGCUUUAAUGCAGGGCAGACAGGGAAGGGGUUUGGAGUGGAGACUUCAGGAAGGAAGACAGGCAGUCAGUGAGGUUUGUGACACACCCAAAGUUCCAAAUGGUGAUGAAAGAACAAUGGAUUUUGUGCAAGAAGUGGCUUCGUCCAAUUGUCCAAUUUUCAUCUUGUUUGUUGGUUUGUUUGUUUGAGACAGGGUCUCUCCAGGUAUCUCAGGCUGUCCUCGAACUCAUGGCGAUCCUCCUGCCUCAGCCUCUGGAAUGCUGGGAUUACAGGUGUGCCCCUCCACACCCAGCGCAAUUUUGAUCUUUAACAGACUGUUCUGGUCACUGACAAGGGCCUGAGCCAGGAGUCGAGCAGGCAGGGUGUGGUGAGGUGGAGAGAAUCGGUGGAUGGUGACUUGCUGGGAGACAGGGCCGACAGGACUGGCUGAGGGCUGAGCCAUGGACCCUGGGGGACAGCAGAGUUGGGGACACCUGACAGAGGAACUGGAGGGGAUUCAGCGGAGGACGCCAAGCGCUGGGGUCGGGACUCUCUUCGCUUCAUCUCACGACAGCGCAGGGCAGACCCGGGUGGAACACCGGACGAGGGACUGUAUCCUGGGGACAGAGCCACGGGAGAGGCCGAAGAGAAGACCCGAGGAACUCCAGGCUGCGGCUGGAGCUGGCAGGGAUGGGGACCUUGAGAAGCAGAAGGGAGAACCAGCCUCUGCAGAAACAGAUCCUGCAGCAGGCCCAGCGACGGGGCAGAGGAAGGCUGCUGUUGGAAGUUAUGAAAGUGGAGUCUGUCUGGUCUUUCUUGGGCGGAAGAGAAAUCAGCAAGGCUGCAGGGGCAGGAACAAACGUGAAGCCAAGUUUUGCUUCCCCUUGAUCCUAGGCCUCAGUCUGAAUUACUGAGUUUGCCACAGAAGUACCAUAGGAAUCAUUUAUUAUUACAGGCAUUAUUAAGUUUUAUUUAUAUGACUAUCUGAAGAAAUAAUCCUACAUGUCUCUCCUGUCUUCAGACAUUGUUGUAUAUUCUUAUUUAAGCUCACCUGAAAUUAGUUAUGAAACCAGGACUCCAUCUGUUACACCACACAUAGCGUGUUCAGGCCACAUUCUUUUGUUUUGUUUUUGUUUUUAGAGACAGGGUCUGUGUAGUUUAG
rnacentral:lncRNA from 1 species